AGUGAACGCUGGCGGUAGGCCUAACUCAUGCAAGUCGAACGGCAGCACAGUAAGAGCUUGCUCUUACGGGUGGCGAGUGGCGGACGGGUGAGGAAUACAUCGGAAUCUACUUUUUCGUGGGGGAUAACGUAGGGAAACUUACGCUAAUACCGCAUACGGCCUACGGGUGAAAGCAGGGGAUCUUCGGACCUUGCGCGAUUGAAUGAGCCGAUGUCGGAUUAGCUAGUUGGCGGGGUAAAGGCCCACCAAGGCGACGAUCCGUAGCUGGUCUGAGAGGAUGAUCAGCCACACUGGAACUGAGACACGGUCCAGACUCCUACGGGAGGCAGCAGUGGGGAAUAUUGGACAAUGGGCGCAAGCCUGAUCCAGCCAUACCGCGUGGGUGAAGAAGGCCUUCGGGUUGUAAAGCCCUUUUGUUGGGAAAGAAAAGCAGCAGGUUAAUACCCCGCUGUUCUGACGGUACCCAAAGAAUAAGCACCGGCUAACUUCGUG
rnacentral:rRNA from 1 species